CUCGGCGAUUCCCGCCCGCGGCGCUGCCGGAGCCGGGUCCGCUGCCCGCGGGACGCUCCGGGGGGCGGCCGCCAUCUUUGCCCGGAGCCGCCGGCUGCACCGACCGCCGCCGCUGCUGCUCUGAAGUUUUUCCUGUAUUCCCACCGAAAUCCCCAGGAGUUCACAUCAUAUCCUGCAAACCUGAGUGCACGUGGGGAAUGCUGAGGUUGUACCACAUCAGUGCUGCUGCAGAAACGUCAGAUUUUCUUCUGCCGGUCACUGCUUUCAUUGAAAAGCAACCAUCUUCCACUGAUAAACAAAAGAAGCACAUGGCAGUUGCUGUGUAAGGCCAAUAAAAUAAUCAGAAGUCCUUUGUGAAAAUACAGCCUUUGGUCCUUCAGAAGUCCAUACGUUGGCAUAGCAACACAGGUCCUGCUGUGCUCCCAGGGGUGCACGGCCCCCAGCUCA